rfam:Cerapachys biroi unplaced genomic scaffold scaffold1001, whole genome shotgun sequence.
AAAACGGCUCUUUUAAGAGCCACCAAUCUCUUAUCGAAGGAUAUCU